rnacentral:RNase_P_RNA from 1 species
GGUAAGGGUGCAACGGUGCGGUAAGAGCGCACCAGCAGCUAGGCGACUAGCUGGCUAGGUAAACCCCACCUGGUGCAAGACCUAAUAGGGGAACACAUGGAGUUGCCCGCUCCGUUCCCGGGUAGGUCGCUUGAGGCACUAGGCAACUAGUGUCCCAGAUAGAUGAUCAUCCAUCGACAGAACCCGGCUUACGGUUUAGUCAACUGC